rnacentral:rRNA from 1 species
AUUGAACGCAGGCGGCAGGCUUAACACAUGCAAAGUCGAACGGUAACAAAAGAAGCUCGCUUCUUUGAAGACGAGUGGCGGAACGGGUGAGUAAUGCUUGGGAAUCUAGCUUCAGGAGGGGGAUAACUACGGGAAACUGUAGCUAAUACCGCGUAAUAUCGAAAGAUUAAAGUGUGGGACCUUCGGGCCGCAUGCCAUAGGAUGAGCCCAAGUGGGAUUAGGUAGUUGGUGAGGUAAAGGCUCACCAAGCCGACGAUCUCUAGCUGGUCUGAGAGGAUGACCAGCCACACUGGGACUGAGACACGGCCCAGACUCCUACGGGAGGCAGCAGUGGGGAAUAUUGCGCAAUGGGGGCAACCCUGACGCAGCCAUGCCGCGUGAAUGAAGAAGGCCUUCGGGUUGUAAAGUUCUUUCGGUAGCGAGGAAGGCACUUAGUUUAAUAGACUAGGUGAUUGACGUUAACUACAGAAGAAGCACCGGCUAACUCCGUGCCAGCAGCCGCGGUAAUACGGAGGGUGCGAGCGUUAAUCGGAAUAACUGGGCGUAAAGGGCACGCAGGCGGUGACUUAAGUGAGGUGUGAAAGCCCCGGGCUUAACCUGGGAAUUGCAUUUCAUACUGGGUCGCUAGAGUACUUUAGGGAGGGGUAGAAUUCCACGUGUAGCGGUGAAAUGCGUAGAGAUGUGGAGGAAUACCGAAGGCGAAGGCAGCCCCUUGGGAAUGUACUGACGCUCAUGUGCGAAAGCGUGGGGAGCAAACAGG